GUUGAAACACCGGCUCUCGAACAAUCACCGAAGUUAAGCAAUCUCGAGCCGAGUCAGUACUUUGAUGAGUGACCUACUUGGAAAUAGCAGGUGUU